UGCAGUCGUACGAAGAAAAAUUAUGCUUGCAUAAUUUUAUACUUAGUGGCGGACGGGUGAGUAACACGUAAGAACCUACCUUUUGGCGAGGGACAACCACUGGAAACGGUGGCUAAUACCUCAUAUUGCUGAGAAGUGAAAGAUGAAUAAUCACCAAAAGAUGGUCUUGCGUCUGAUUAGCUAGUUGGUGAGGUAAUAGCUUACCAAGGCGAUGAUCAGUAGCUGGUCUGAGAGGACGAUCAGCCACACUGGGACUGAGACACGGCCCAGACUCCUACGGGAGGCAGCAGUGGGGAAUUUUGGACAAUGGGCGAAAGCCUGAUCCAGCAAUGCCGCGUGUGCGAAGAAGGCCUUCGGGUUGUAAAGCACUUCUGUCAGGGAAGAAAUCUUUUAGGCUAAUACCCUGGAAGGAUGACGGUACCUGAAGAAUAAGCACCGGCUAACUACGUGCCAGCAGCCGCGGUAAUACGUAGGGUGCAAGCGUUAAUCGGAAUUACUGGGCGUAAAGCGUGCGCAGGCGGUUUGUUAAGACAGUCGUGAAAUCCCCGGGCUUAACCUG
rnacentral:rRNA from 1 species